rnacentral:tRNA from 1 species
GGGCCCGUGGCCAAGCCAGGAUAAAGGCGUCGAGAGGAUUAACCUCACGUAUGCCUCCGGAGCCGGAGAUCCUGGGUUCAAAUCCCAGCGGGCCCG